CUCUCUCUUCUCUCUGUGGAGAGGACCUCUGUACAGGGAUCUACAGUGUCAGGAAGCCCAAACAGGCAAGGUCAAGGGCAAAGUGGACCAGGAAUUAGAAAUAAUUUCCAGGCUAAUUAAAUGUAACCCCUCUGUGGCCUCACCUCCUUGGAAUUAGAGGGGACCAUGAGCUUUCAGCUCACCAGCUCACCAUUGUAUGGAGAAAGAAGUAUAUUUUCAAGUUCGGCAGAUGGUGGCUUAAGAUUGCAAGGCUAACCUGAAAUCGUUUGUUUUCCCCGAAAUAUGUAUCCUCAGAGUAUUAUUUAAGUCAAAACCAGCCUAUCCAAGAGCUUUAAUUAACCAGAUCACCCA